UCGCCCUCAAGCGCCUCAAAGCUUCCUAAGCGCUUACAUUGGUCUUGGGACAGCCGACUUUGGCUUCUUUGUUUGUUUGAGGGACCGCGGAAGUGGCGGGGAAUGUGCCCCCGCUUGAGACCGCUUAUUGUGAGCCCUCAACGGAAAUCCUGCACGGAAGGCAACCGCCUCCCCGCUCGCGGGGCUGAGAUCAGAGAGGGAGGGAAAAAGAAGAGAGAAUCAUUGUUCUUCUUUUUUUAAUUUAAUAUACCAAGCCACCAGCUCAGGUAGAAGGCUUCAUUUGCUCUGAGUUAUCAUUGAGAACUAAAUGGAGAAGAAAAGAACUGAAGGCCUGAAGAUAUGUCAUCUGUAGAAAAGGAUAAUGAAGGUGGGUUUGGAUUUUUUAUUUUAGAAGGAGAAAUUUCAUAGAAAAUAUGAAUCCUUGUCUCAUGAUUAGUGUCUCUCUGCAACAGCCCCAUCCUUCUGCAGGUGGCCUCUUCUCAAGCUUUCUUGGCAAAUCAAGAGCUUCUGCCUUUUGGAGGACAUCCUCUUGACCUCCCACCCAUAUCAGCUCUUAGAGGACAUUCCACAGGAACAUUGCCUUCUUGUCCUCCAGUAUUUUUUAUGGAAACAGAAAUUAGGUUAUCUUCCUUAUGCUCUAGAUGGACAUCUGAAAUCAUCAAACCCUUGAGAGAAACAGCCCUCAUUCUUUUAUGAGACAACCUGGAAGAAAACAGGACUCUGAAGAUUUGUCUCCAUAUUCUCUGGAAAGAUGUACUCUGUUUGCAAUAAGAGGGAGCCACAUGGUUUAUUAGAUGGUUAUUAAUUGAGCAUUCUGUGCAAAGAAGUUUGUGCCUUAGGUUUAGAAUUCCACCCUCAGUUGGAAUACAGAUGAUCCCUAACAAGUCACAUGAAAAAAUGAACUGUGGAGCCAGAAGAGUGAGUUCUUGGAGAACUAAGGGCCAGAGACCUGUGAGCAAGAUUUGAUAAUUUUAUAAAAAUUAAAAGACGAUUUGAAAUGUUAUUAUAUUGAAAAGAAGAAAAUCUCUCCAGUUUCAGAAACACUGGCCUUUUGGAUACUGAGGAGUUGGAAAUGGAAAGGGGAUUUUAAUGAGUUUCUCGGCAAUGAGGCUAGAGAAAAUAUUAUCCAUCUCCCCCUGUUCUCCAAUUCAGCAGCUCGGACUCCUGUUUUCAUCACAGUCCUGUUAGAUAAUUACAGCCCCAAAGGCCUCCUGUUCCUUCUUUCUGUGUUCCCUGAAUCUUCUUUCCCAGAGCCAGGACCUCUUGGAAAUUCUCAGCCUCUGUUAGUUGCCCGCUCUGGGAGCCCGACUCCUCACAUCCGUCAUCUCUUUCUUCUCCCCCUUCACCUGCUGUAGUGUCCCCACUGUCUCUCUUUACCUCAGCUCCUUACCAUUCCUUUCCCUCUACACCCUUUUCCUUUGGUUCAUAGUCAGGAUGUGCUAGUUGCAUUCAAGCCCUUUUUGAUACUAAGAAUUCAGGGGGACAAAUCCAAACCCUGGAGACUACUGUCUUCCCCUUAGUGAUGCUAAUGAAUAUAAUUCCUGAUCUGAAAUUACCUGCACUUUAUUUGGCUCCAUCUACUUUUCUGCCACUUACUCCCUGUAUAACCAUAGGCUACGUACCCUACCUCUCUCUGGGUUUGUUUACUCCUCAGUUAAAAGGAGGAUUAAAAUGGCAAUCACAACACCUUGCUACAGAUAUGUUAGGAAGAUUAAAUGGGAUAACAUGCAGGGUGCCUAGCCUUCCUGGCAUAUAGUAAAUGCCUAUAAAAUAUAACAAGUGUCAUGUAUUAUUAUUAAAUUGUAUCUACCUGGUAGAAAC
rnacentral:lncRNA from 1 species